CAUUUUCAACAGUCGCUACCACAGAAUUUGAACAUAUUUUAUGGAAAAGAGAUGCUGUAUGUUUCUGAACGCUGUUUCGUUGUCGACAAUAUGACUGAGCGUCAAAGAUUACCAUUCGAUUUGAGCAGGGGCGCGCCCCCCUCAAAGGCUUCGCCCAGUCGUGUGACGGGCCAUAGCCCAGUUCAACCCGGGGCAGCUUAAUCAAAUUCCCUCGUUAAACAUGUAUACAUAUUCCAUUGGUUAGUACAAAGUAAUAUGUGUGAUUAAAUCACAAGUUAUUAGUCAGUCUAUGUUAAAAACAUUUUUCAGAUUUCUCCAACUCAUUUAACCAAUCACAUCAUGUUGGUUAAAUGAGGCUUUUAACAAUAAAAAAAGCUAUUUUGACAACUUCCACUGUCCUCCAACAUUACUACAUGCUUUGAAACAAUCAAUUGUGUGUUUGUGUGUCCACCUCAGGUUCUGAAUACUUCAGAAGACACUACAUACUAUUGCUAUUGGUAGUGGUGGGGUGGACUGUGGCUAUCAGAAGUCUGAUUGCCCAGAAACACAAUCAAAUUGCACAGAGACAGCAGUCAAAUGAUGAAACCUGUGCGGCAGAGAGAGAAGCGAUUAAGAGCCUGAAAUCAGAGAACUACAGCGUUCUUCUAAAUAUGAUUUUAAAGCAGGAAGGGUGGAAGUAUAUCAACUCCAGUCUAUACUACAUCUCUACUGAGACUAAGUCCUGGGAUGAGAGCAGACCUUACUGCCAACGGAGGGGAUUGGACCUGGUGAUCAUAAACAGCGAAGAGGAACAGGCCUUCCUCCUUGAAGUGGUCAGCGCCAGGAAAUUGGACGGUGUCUGGAUUGGUUUGUCUCGUAACGAUACAAAGGAGAUGUCAACACGGAAAGACAUUUCCUCUUCG